AAACUUUCCUGGCAGGGGAGAUACAUUAUCCUGAAGGUGGUUUUCCUUAGGGCGAGGUUUUCUGGCAAUUCAUUGCACUUCGAACGUGCCGAUCCGCGAUGUCCCCAAUGUGGCAAACUCACUGCGUAAUUUGUGGGUAGUGGAACUGGUUCGGCGCUCUAC
rnacentral:snRNA from 1 species